rnacentral:ribozyme from 2 species
UUAGUAAUGUGGCCUAAGACAGUUGCAAGCCUGUUUGAAAAACACAGAGCACUAA